AUCAAUGAUACACUAUAGCAAGUCUAUACGUGCCCAAUACUAAUCAAAUAUAUUUUCUCCACAGAAUCCUUCUCAAACUGCCCAACAUCCAACAGGGUAUCACUGUUUUAUGUGGAGACUUCAACCAUGUACUUGACCCAAAUUUUGACACCACGCUACAGAACACUAGUGCUAGAUACAGGCCACUUAAACGCCAGGGAAAGGCACUGCAGAAACUCUUCAUGCAACACCACAUGUAUGACACCUGGAGAGUCACCAACCCCUCAGAAAGAGCAUACACAUACUUUUCACCCAUGCACAACACCAGCUCUAGAAUUUAUGCUUUUUUAUGCACCUUAACCAACUGAUUCAAUGUGACAUAAAACCUACAACUUGGUCGGACCAUGCGCCCCUCACCC